GACGUAGGGUCCAAGCGUUGUCCGGAUUUACUGGGCGUAAAGAGCGCGUAGGCGGUCUGUUAAGUGUAGAGUGAAAUCUCCAGGGCUCAACCCGGAAACUGCUCUGCAUACUGGCAGACUUGAGGAAUGCAGAGGUUUGUGGAAUUCCUGGUGUAGCGGUGAAAUGCGUUGAUAUCAGGAGGAACACCCAUGGCGAAGGCAGCAAACUGGGCAUUAUCUGACGCUGAGGCGGCGAAA
rnacentral:rRNA from 1 species